UAGUUCAUGGCGUAGCAGGGCAUAGCAGGACGUAGCAGGGCACUGCAGAGCGUAGCAGGGUGUAGAUCAGUAUGUCGUGGCCUGUUGGUUGCUGGUGUAGUGGUAAUGACUUCUGUUAGAUGUACCAAGAAGUCUCAUCUCCAUUACUAGCUGUGCCGUGACAUUAAUAUAAUUAUAAAUAUAGGAGAUAGAUAGGGCUCUCCUCAGGCCUGGUCUUAAGAGGAGACCCCUGCUCCGGUUUUACCUGAUUGUUCAAACUUUUUUUUUUAAUCUGUUGUCAUUUAAAUGUUAUUGUAAUUAUUAUUAUAAUGUAAUUUGCUGAAAUGCAUGCUGUGCACUCUGCCCCAUUGAAAAUGAGGGUCUCUCUCAAUGGGCCCCGAGUUCUAAAUAAAGGUUUGAAAUGAAAUUAUUACAAUCUCACCCUGUUUUCACCUGGCAUUAACAUCCGUCCUGAGUGAUCGGAUCACAAGUGGACAGCUCUGGGGAACGGUGAAAACGCAACAUUUGGAGAUGGUUUGAGCCGCAUGUGUCCACAUUCUAAUAGCUGUGAGAACGUGUGAUGGCCUGCUGCCGCUGGGGCCGUCAGACAGCUUUACAGCACGCACAGAGAUGAGAAGGGUAUGUAUCGACUUGUCUAACUCUGUCCUGUGUCCACAUUAAAGACCGCCUACUCAACUACGCACUCAUUCAAAGUCUUUCUCUUGUCACAGAAACCACUGAGUGAACCGUGUGUUUUGGAUAUCAUAUACUGUCAGGGAUGUGAUGGCGUUUUUGUUCCUGCAUGCACCCUGCAGUCCUAUAUCCCCGGCUCUCUUGAGUUUUCUGCAGCGCUGUUGCUUUGAAAAUAACGUUAUCAUAGUUGUCUCCUUUGUGCAUAUGAUUGAAAUGAACUGUAUCCUACAUGUGCCACUACACACUGCUAUAACUAUUAUGAGUCCUGGGAAAGAAAAGUGACCUACAAUGAAUACACAAGUAUGCUACCGACAUGAUAUACCUGUUUAUUCUUUUGUAUAUGAUUUCUUUGUUGUUUUUUUUACUGCGGUGAUGAUGACUUGAGAUACAGGUAUGGAAAUCUUUAAUUACAUUAUCAAAAUAGUCUUGUAGGUCUUUAUAAUUAAUGUUAUUUAUAAUUUAUCUUACUCACUUUGUUAUAUGUUUUUACUCAGGUGCUGAUGGCGCCCGGAGAGAGAAGACAUCGUGAAAGAGCGAGACUCAACGCCCCGGCGGUACAUCCAGUUUCCAUCUUUGGUUCCACUCUGACGAAGAAGAAACAGAAGGACGACUGAGGAGAGGACGAGAUGGAGAGCAGGACAGGACUCCUGUAUCUCCUGGGGGAACUUGAGAGUGUAUGUCAACCAGCCAAACAUCCCAGGCAGCUGCAGCACCACAGCAGUCCACCGGACACACCAAACCUGCUUCCAGACCCCCAGACCCCCGAACCAGUGCAGCAACCAUUAGAGGAAGAAGACCGCCCCAUUCAGGAGGAUGAGGAGCGUCCCAAACUCACCUGUGCAGAUGAAGCUGUCACUAUGGACUUCGUCUGUGCUGGCAUGUUUGUGAAGCUCCUCGCACGCACGCAUACAUCUGCUUGCCUCCAUGUGCACAAAUCCAGUGGUGGAAGAAGGAUUGAGAUUGUUUACUUCGGUAAAAGUACUAAUGCACUGUAAAACUACUUAUACUCUGUUACAAGUAAGAUAAAAUAAGAUGAAACUUUAUUGUCCGUUCACUCAGAACAUUUUCUUGCAUCGUCUGCUCCAACAAUCAACAGAUAAUAUAAAAAAAUAAAAAACAUUUGUAUGGUCACCCAUCAAACAUCUGACACACCUUUCCGUCUCACACACACACACACACACACACACACACACACACAUUUAUAAUUGUCAUGUAAAAGUCCUGCUUUGAAAAUGUUACUUAAGUAAAAGUAUGUAAGUAUCAGGAAAAUGUACUUAAAGUAUUAAAAGUACUCAAUACAGAAAAAGCAUCACAUUUUAGUAACUGGAAACAGAAAAUGGCAUCAAAAAGAGCAUUAAAAGUGUGAAAAAAGGGUAAAAAGUCAAAUCAUUUCAGGUGGACUUGUAAGCCGUUUUAUUUUUGUGUAGUUUAAUUUAUAAUAAAACAUGGUAUUUUAUAAACUACAUGUGUUCUGUGAGCAAAAGUCUUAGUGUGUAAAGUAACUAGUAACAAAAGCUGUCAGAUUACAGUAAAUAUGGAGUAAAAAGUACAUUUCUCUCCGAGAUGUAGCGUAGAGUACAAGUAGAAAGUGUCAUGAAAAGAAAAGACUCAAGUAAAGUACAAGUACCUCAAAUUUGUACUUAAUUUACUUGAGUAAAUGUACUUAGUUACAUUCCACCACUGCACAAGUCCAUGUGCAGACAGUGAAGAAAGAGAAUCUGACAGACCAUAAUUAGGAGUGGUUAUUAUUAUUUAUAGGCACCAUUUAUUUGACCAUUAUUUUGCCUACAGUUGUUUACAGUUUGUGCCUGGUGUUGAAUUCAAUAAAAUGGACUGUGUAACAUGA